UCAUCUGAAUUUAUUGGAAACUUACCCAGACUCUCUCUCACACACUCAAAUCAAGAAACAAAAUCCAUGAGAAAAAAAUAGAAAACCAAAAACCAAAAUGAAAAUUGAAGCAAAAUUUGAAGAAUAAAUUUCUCUCAUACACAAUUUUAAAUCUACUCACCGGCAAACUCAUUUUGUUUGGUUCUGAUUUUUUAUCCUCCAUUCAUGGCUGCUAGCAAAGACACCAUCAAUUAUCACUACCGAUCCAUUUUCGUCCUUCAACUCUCUCAUGACUAGUCAUCAUUCAUUUUUCACCAUGAGUUUCAUAUGAACUCAUAAGAAUCUCUCCAAAAUUCUUGCGGAAUUUUUCAGUUGUAGAGUUGUAUACUCCAUUUUCUUUCCAAGAAAAGAAGAAAAGAACCAAAAACAGAAAACCAACAAAUACAUUGAGGGAAUCUGAGGAGCAAGAGGAGCUCGCUGCUGCCAUCACCAUUGCCGGAGUUGCUAUCUUCUUGCUAGAACCACCACUACUUAUAAAUCAUCAUGAAGGAAGCAGUAUGAAUGAAAUGGGACAGUGAUGCUGCAAUUUUGUUGUUUCUUUUUCACCUUUUCUGCCUGAAUAAGGCUUGACAAGAUAUUUUUCGACUCAGCCAUAAUCAAAUUUCAUACGAAAUAUUCAAUUUUUGUGAUGACCUUAAUCUUUUUGACAAAAUGCCCAAAUGAAAUAAGUUUGUAAGUAGACCUGAGAGUAUGUUUGAGAGCCAUUUCUCCUUUAAAUUUUGCUUCACUUUCCUGAGAGUAUAUUUGUAAGCACAUGACAUGUGUCUUUUGUAUAUGUUUAAUUCAUUUAAUUUACUACUCAAUUAAAUGAGUUAAACUUGGGGUAUUGAAAUGAAGAUUAAAUUUUGCACUCAUAACGUUUAUCUCACUCUAACAAUAUGAGUUGAAACUUUUAA